GACGAACGCUGGCGGAGUGCCUAAUACAUGCAAGUAGGACGCAGUUGCGAACGGGUGAGUAACGCGUAGGUACCUGACUAUUAGAGGGGGAUAACUAUUGGAAACGAUAGCUAAUACCGCAUAAUAGUAGAUGGACCUGCUUUGUAUUAGCUAGUAGGUAGGGUAAUGGCCUACCUAGGCGACGAUACAUCGCCAACCUGAGAGGGUGACCGGCCACACUGGGACUGAGACACGGGCCAGACUCCUACGGGAGGCAGCAGUAGGGAAUCUUCGGAAAUGGGGGGAACCCUGACCGAGCAACGCCGCGGGAGUGAAGAAGGUUUUCGGAUCGUAAAGCUCUGUUGUUAAGGAAGCGGUACUUAACCAGAAAGGGACGGCUAACUACGUGCCAGCAGCCGCGGUAAUUC
rnacentral:rRNA from 1 species